rnacentral:tRNA from 1 species
CUCUCGAUAGCUCAGUUGGAAGAGCGAAGGACUGUAAUCGUUGCGUUAAAGACAUCCUUAGGUCGCCCGUUCGAUCCGGGCUCGGGAGA